rnacentral:rRNA from 1 species
AUUGAACGCUGGCGGCAUGCUUUACACAUGCAAGUCGAACGGUAACAGGCCGCAAGGUGCUGACGAGUGGCGAACGGGUGAGUAAUGCAUCGGAACGUGCCCAGUCGUGGGGGAUAACUACUCGAAAGAGUAGCUAAUACCGCAUACGAUCUAUGGAUGAAAGCGGGGGACCGUAAGGCCUCGCGCGAUUGGAGCGGCCGAUGUCAGAUUAGGUAGUUGGUGGGGUAAAGGCUCACCAAGCCAACGAUCUGUAGCUGGUCUGAGAGGACGACCAGCCACACUGGGACUGAGACACGGCCCAGACUCCUACGGGAGGCAGCAGUGGGGAAUUUUGGACAAUGGGCGCAAGCCUGAUCCAGCAAGGCCGCGUGCAGGAAGAAGGCCUUCGGGUUGUAAACUGCUUUUGUACGGAACGAAACGGCUCUGGUUAAUACCCGGGGCUAAUGACGGUACCGUAAGAAUAAGCACCGGCGAACUACGU